UCAUGGGCUACUCGUAUAAUAAUUGGGCCUGCAUGUUGUAAAUUUCUUUUUUGAUUUUUUAUGUUUCUUCUUCCGAAAGCUCAAAAUCUAUGGAAAAAAGAAAACGAUAAAUAACAACAAUAAUUUCAUAUCAAUUAUAACCCGAGAAUUUAAUUAUUAAUUCGUUAGCAAAUACCAUGACAGUAAUUUAUUCCAUAGAGUUUGAUUCUGGGUGUCUCUCAGAGAGGAAGAGUAAUAGAUAUGUUGGAAUGGUCUUUGAUGAUGAAGGAAAUAAUGGCAAUUAGGGCCUAUUCUUUUAUCUUCCUCCUAUCCUUCUGCUUCUUUUUGGAAUCUUCUUCCUGGUGAUAAUGGAAAUGGGAGAGAUGUUAAAUGGAGGUUUAUGCUUUUGAAUUGCAACACGAGACUGAAAUACGGUGUUGUUGAGGCCUUGAAGGUUAAAGCCAAACUCUGAUAAUAAUGGCAAUGUUGCAGUAGACUGGUCAGAAAACUAUUCGCAUUCUCUUCCUUUAGAGCUUUCACAGAUGUAAGAAAUUGAAGUUGAGGUCCUUGGAUAGAUUUUUUUUUUUUUUUUUAUUAUCUUUAUAAGCUGUUAUCUUAAUUGAAUGCUAGUUUUUGGCAUAAGAUAUAUGUAUAAAGAUAUUAGCUCUAUUAAACUUUAACAUAUAGUUUAUUCUGUAGACUUCAUAGGAAACAACUUUAACUUGCAGAAACCAACAAAAAGAAUAUAACCCCUCUUAAAGAUCAAAUUAUCUAUGUGAGUUUGUCCUAGCUAAAUGUAAAUCAUUCAAAUAAAGGCACAAUUCUCUAUUUGGGCCUGUAUCAGUUAAUUCAGUUUAAUAUUAUGAAAAAGAAACGUCUAUUGUCCAAUUAAUGUUUUCAGGUAUCCAAGUAGGUAGUCCAUGAUUCAAAAAUCAGGCCUAGGCUUGAGAUACCUUAUCUUUCUUUUCAGUCCAUUUAUCUAAUGAAGCAUAUUGAAGAAUCUAUUUGGUUCUUGCAAAUUGAUUAAGGAGACCACAGCAUCAAAAAAUAUUGCAAAGUUUACUUUAUUCUCUCUCUACUCCUACUCUGGUACUGAUACACCUGGUUUGCAUGCUGGGCCAGAAACUUUAGCGGCAAUUCAUGCUUGGCAGAAAUAUUGCCAUGAGAAGCUUGACGAAUGAGCAUGGAGAGAUGGAUACUCAAAAUCUCCAUGUCAUCUUGAAAAGUGGCAUGCUAGAAAAGUUUUCCUUGGUUGUGGCUUUAGUUAAUGAUGAUGGAAUAUAUUGUGCAUUUUUUGCCAUUCAGCAGUUUCUUUUAGAAUACCCUUUCCAUGUAUGCUUUUCCAUUUCCUCUUUUCUGUCUUUAUUUUUCUUUUUGAUCUUGUUUUUGUUCUUUCUCCAGCAUAUGAAAAGUGUAAAAGUGCACUUCCCCUUGCUUAAGGAAUUCGACCAUUGCCACAUGUUCUUGCCUGCUCUUUAUGCUUGACCAUUGCUUCUUUUUCUACCUCAUCCUAAAAGGGAAAAUUUCAGCUUAAACUUUGGUCCUUCUCAGGAAUUAGAAAGCCUUUUAUUGUAAUAAGAUUUGCAUAUACAUGGACUAAAAAUCCAUAGGGAUGCUGUAGAUAAAUAAAGUGGGCAGUUGCUUUAAUAGUAUUACAUGAUCAUAAAUAUAUUUUAAUCACACAUCAUAAACUUGAAAUAAAAAAGAAAGGCUAUGGAGUUGAGUGCCCCUGGUUGUCCAACAGAACUGGAAACCUUUGGAGAAUAACUGAACCAAAUUGUUCUUUAUUAUAUGCUAUGAAUUAUUUUCUUACUUAAUAUCAUGGAGCAAGCAGAAUUUCAUACUUUCAGGUCCCAAGGAUGUUCGAGCUCAUGUUAAAGUGAUCUUGCCAGUGUUAGGUGAUGUAUUCAGCACCUGCAAGGUAUCGAGCAUUUGGCUGCUUGACAAUAAGCUCCAAGAUUCUCAGCUUUCUGUGGCUGAAUUUUGUUCUCUUUUAUCCUCUAAUGCAUAAAAGUGUAAAGUGCAAAAGUGCAAUCUACUUUUGUUUUAGCUAGAUCUGCCUUACUGUUAGCACACUCUUGGUUUAUUUUCUCCUUUAAAGGUUAGAAUAAAGUAAAGUGGGGGUGGGUGAUGGGGGGGGUCCUCUGGGUCCGAAAGAGAGAGGUAAUGAGAUUUUUCUUUUUUGGCCCUUCUCCAACAGCAAAUGCAAUGCUUUAAAGAUACUUGGUAAUUGCAUUAAAUUAACUAUGUGGAAGUAGAAGAUGACAUGAUCUUGUAAUUUUAUCUUUUUAUGGAUAAAAUCUAGAGAGAGAGAGAGAGAGAAAGUAGACUUUAGUUAUAGAUUUUGAACUUCUUGUUUUGGGUAAUUUAGUUUGCAGAUUUUGUUGAUUGUUAGUGAUCUGCUAAUUUUGUUAAUGGUGAUGAAGAUUGGUUGUGUUUA